CGUAUUGGGGUUCGGCUAAGCCAUGCGAGCGGAGGGCGCGGUCGCAAGAUCGUGGCCCCGCACACGGCUCAGUAACACGUAGUCAAUCUACCCUCGAGNNUGGGACAACCUCGGGAAACUGAGGCUAAUCCCGGAUGGGCGAAGGACGCUGGAAUGCCUCUUUGCCGAAAGCUACGGCGCUCGAGGAUGGGACUGCGGCCUAUCAGGCUGUUGGUGGUGUAACGGACCACCAAACCUACGACGGGUACGGGCAACGGGAGUUGGAGCCCGGAGAUGGGGACUGAGACAAGGCCCCAGGCCCUACGGGGCGCAGCAGGCGCGAAAACUCCGCAAUGCGCGAAAGCGUGACGGGGGAACCCCAAGUGCCGUUGGUCUUCGGAUCGACGGCUUUUAGGAAGUCUAAGAAGCUUCCGGAAUAAGGGCUGGGCAAGUCUGGUGCCAGCCGCCGCGGUAAUACCAGCAGCCCAAGUGGUGGUUAUGAUUAUUGGGCCUAAAGCGCUCGUAGCCGGGCCGCUAAGUCCCUUGUGAAAUCGGACGGCUCAACCGUUCGGCUUGCAAGGGAUACUGUCGGCCUUGAGAUCGGGAGAGGCAGGGGGUACUCGGGGGGUAGCGGUGAAAUGCUGUAAUCCCCUGGGGACCACCAGUGGCGAAGGCGCCCUGCCAGAACGAAUCUGACGGUGAGGGGCGAAGGCGUGGGGAGCGAACGGGAUUAGAUACCCCGGUAGUCCACGCAGUAAAGGAUGCGGGUUGGGUGUUGGGUGCCCCUCGAGAGCACCUUGUGCCGUAGGGAAGCCGUUAAGCUAGCCGCCUGGGGAGUACGGCCGCAAGGCUGAAACUUAAAGGAAUUGGCGGGGGAGCACCACCAGGCGUAAGCUGCG
rnacentral:rRNA from 1 species